rnacentral:rRNA from 1 species
UACGUAGGGGGCAAGCGUUAUCCGGAUUUACUGGGUGUAAAGGGAGCGUAGACGGUGAUGCAAGUCAGAAGUGAAAGCCCGGGGCUCAACUCCGGGACUGCUUUUGAAACUGUGUAACUGGAGUGCAGGAGGGGUAAGCGGAAUUCCUGGUGUAGCGGUGAAAUGCGCAGAUAUCAGGAGGAACACCAGUGGCGAAGGCGGCUUACUGGACUGUAACUGACGUUGAGGCUCGAAAGCGUGGGGAGCAAACAGG